rnacentral:rRNA from 1 species
UGGGGAAUAUUGCACAAUGGGCGCAAGCCUGAUGCAGCCAUGCCGCGUGUGUGAAGAAGGCCUCGGGUUGUAAAGCACUUUCAGCGAGGAGGAAGGUGGUGAGCUUAAUACGCUCAUCAAUUGACGUUACUCGCAGAAGAAGCACCGGCUAACUCCGUGCCAGCAGCCGCGGUAAUACGGAGGGUGCAAGCGUUAAUCGGAAUUACUGGGCGUAAAGCGCACGCAGGCGGUUUGUUAAGUCAGAUGUGAAAUCCCCGGGCUCAACCUGGGAACUGCAUUUGAAACUGGCAAGCUAGAGUCUCGUAGAGGGGGGUAGAAUUCCAGGUGUAGCGGUGAAAUGCGUAGAGAUCUGGAGGAAUACCGGUGGCGAAGGCGGCCCCCUGGACGAAGACUGACGCUCAGGUGCG